CCUACGGGGGACAGCAGUGAGGAAUAUUGGUCAAUGGCCGUAAGGCUGAACCAGCCAAGUAGCGUGAGGGCAGACUGCCCUAUGGGUUGUAAACCUCUUUUAUGCGGGGAUAAAGGUGUCCACGUGUGGAUGUUUUCAGGUACCGCAUGAAUAAGGACCGGCUAAUUCCGUGCCAGCAGCCGCGGUAAUACGGAAGGUACGGGCGUGAUCCGGAUUUAUUGGGUUUAAAGGGAGCGUAGGCAGGACUUUAAGCGAGCCGUGAAAUUUUGUGGCUCAACCAUGGGAGUGCGGCGCGAACUGGAAACCUUGAGUGCGCGGAAGGCAGGAGGAAUUCGUGGUGUAGCGGUGAAAUGCGUAGAUAUCACGAAGAACCCCGAUUGCGAAGGCAGCCUGCCGCAGCGUUACUGACGCUGAAGCUCGAAAGCGCGGGUAUCGAACAGGAUUAGAUACCCUAGUAGUC
rnacentral:rRNA from 1 species